rnacentral:rRNA from 1 species
UACACAUGCAGUCGAACGAUGAACCUCACUUGUGGGGGGAUUAGUGGCGAACGGGUGAGUAACACGUGAGUAACCUGCCCUUGACUCUGGGAUAAGCCUGGGAAACUGGGUCUAAUACCGGAUAUGACUGAUCAUCGCAUGGUGGUUGGUGGAAAGCUUUUGCGGUUUUGGAUGGACUCGCGGCCUAUCAGCUUGUUGGUGGGGUAAUGGCCUACCAAGGCGACGACGGGUAGCCGGCCUGAGAGGGUGACCGGCCACACUGGGACUGAGACACGGCCCAGACUCCUACGGGAGGCAGCAGUGGGGAAUAUUGCACAAUGGGCGGAAGCCUGAUGCAGCGACGCCGCGUGAGGGAUGACGGCCUUCGGGUUGUAAACCUCUUUCAGUAGGGAAGAAGCGUAAGUGACGGUACCUGCAGAAGAAGCGCCGGCUAACUACGUGCCAGCAGCCGCGGUAAUACGUAGGGCGCAAGCGUUAUCCGGAAUUAUUGGGCGUAAAGAGCUCGUAGGCGGUUUGUCGCGUCUGCCGUGAAAGUCCGGGGCUCAACUCCGGAUCUGCGGUGGGUACGGGCAGACUAGAGUGAUGUAGGGGAGACUGGAAUUCCUGGUGUAGCGGUGAAAUGCGCAGAUAUCAGGAGGAACACCGAUGGCGAAGGCAGGUCUCUGGGCAUUAACUGACGCUGAGGAGCGAAAGCAUGGGGAGCGA